CGGUUUGACAAGAGUAAAACUGUCUCUAUAUAAAUUUUAUAGAAUUUGGUUUUUAGGUGAAGAAACCUAAAUAAAAUUGAAAGACAAGAAGACCCUAUCGAGCUUAAAAUAAGUUUCUUGAAAAUAUUAAAGACUAGAUUCAUGAAAAAAUUUUGGUUGGGGCGACUAAGGAACAUCCAAAGCUUCCUAUAAAAUAUACAAACUAAUAAGUUUUGAUCCAAAAAUUUGAUUAACAGAAAUAGUUACCGUAGGGAUAACAGCAUAAUCUUUUUUGAGAGUUCAUAUCGAAAAAAAGGUUUGUGACCUCNAUGUUGGACUAGGAUACCCAGAAAAGGUGCAGAAGCCUUCAAUGGUUGGUCUGUUCGACCACUAAUAUCCUACGUGAUCUGAGUUCAUACCGA
rnacentral:rRNA from 1 species